GAUGAACGCUGGCGGCGUGCCUAAUACAUGCAAGUCGAGCGAACGGACGAGAAGCUCUCUUCUCUGAUGUUAGCGGCGGACGGGUGAGUAACACGUAGAUAACCUACCUAUAAGACUGGGAUAACUUCGGGAAACCGUAGCUAAUACCGGAUAAUAUUUUGAACGGCAUGGUUCAAAAGUGAAAGACGGUUUUGCUGUCACUAAGAGAUGGAUCCGCGCUGCAUUAGCUAGUUGGUAAGGUAACGGCUUACCAAGGCAACGAUGCAUAGCUGACCUGAGAGGAUGAUCAGCCACACUGGAACUGAGACACGGUCCAGACUCCUACGGGAGGCAGCAGUGGGGAAUAUUCGACAAUGGGCGAAAGCCUGACGCAGCAAUGCCGCGUGAGUGAUGAAGGUCUUCGGAUCGUAAAGCUCUGUUAUUAGGGAAGAACAUAUGUAUGAGUAACUGUGGACAUCUUGACGGUACCUAAACAGAAAGCCACGGCUAACUUCGUG
rnacentral:rRNA from 1 species